AUGCCAAUGUGAUGUGUCCGAGGCCCAUCGAGUAGUCACGGCAAUGAGGUCCGCCAAUGAUGCCAUCCUCUACUGCAAGUAUCAUAGCUGAAGGUGCAUGAACACUUGAGGCAGUGAAUCAGCCAAUCACCUGACGUAAUCAACUUACUCCAGAAAUACGUUCAGAAGUGGAAGAUGAGAUGGUAUCCCCGUGUGGCACAUAAAUGGGGAAAAUAGGGGGGAUAAAAUGUGACACGGGAUUUGCUUAAAUGUGGUAAAAUGUAACAUAACUUCAUGAAUGUUGUAAAGUAGGGUUACAAGGAGCUUUGUAUGCGGUAAAGUCUAUCAUGUAAAUUUGAUCAUCAUGCAUUAUGUUGCUGGACUAAGAAAUAAGAUUGUGACUUUUGGAUUUA